rnacentral:lncRNA from 1 species
CUUAUAGCCGGGCCGUCCCUGCAAAAUUCCAGCUGCAUGGGGGAACCACACUUCUGACUUCAGAAUGAAACCAGUGUUUUGCACACAUUCAUUCCUCAGUCCCCUUGCUGGGACCCUUCUCUGUUAUGAAAGCAGAGAUCCCACCCGAAUAGGGUGACUUUGGGGCGAUGGAUUACCUUUGGCAGGUCCUGUGGGUCAGGAAUUUAGGGGUGCAGCGUGGGCCCACAGCAUACCCAGUAGCCAAGGAAGACCCUCCCCUACCCGAGGCUCAAGCAGGCGCCAGGCCCCAAACCCUCACUCCUCUCUGGUCUAAAUCCCCGCCGUAGGAUUUUAUUUUUCGGUGCUGAGGUGCUUUGCUGGAGGAGCUGCCAGGGGGAGCUGCGCGGGGCAGGCCCGGGGUACCAGAGGCCCUUGCUUUAGCGGCGGCCCUGCGUGUGCCAGAGGCUUGCAGAGUGAUCUGAGCACGCCAAGAGAUUGCUGUCAAUGAAAGCACCAGAUUUCCGCGUAGGAGGGACUCGGGGGCAACGAUGCAAUUGGAAGAACUGCACCGAAAAUGACGAUGUCUUCUCAUGCAUAUGAAUUAUCCAAAGUGUAGGAAGAUGCGCCCCCACUGGAGUACGCUGAAGCCUUUAACCCAAGUACAUUUAAUGCUGCGAAGCCCCGAGUGAGGCAAAGGUGUCUUUUUAUUUUAGAAGACAUUUAGGACAGUUCAUGUCACUCUGCACAGAUGCACUGAAAUUGAUUGUGGGGCAAACUAUAAAGAGAGCUUAUGCUCCCCAAAUCUGUUUCCGAGCCAGGUAGGAUGAUGAAUUCUGAGGUGGGACUGAGGGGGAACGGUGGCAGCUCUCUCCCCUGCACGCACCGGCCAACUACUUCCCCGUUUGGACAUUGGCGUGACACCCUCCUUCCCUGUUCAUCUGUGAAAAUGUGCAGCGUUUUCAUUUAAAACCUCCUGCUCCAACAUGGGGCCUUCUGCAGACCGCAGGGACCCCCAACAAUUACUUGUUGGAAGAACAAAUGAAGCAUAAAGCAUGAUACUUUAUUUUAAACAUACAGGUGGCACAAAUUUAUUUCCAAAGAUUUAAGCACCUGAUGACUUCUCCUUAGAGAAAAAGCAAUAAAAGGAGCCUCUUCUGUCACAAAUUUCCACUUAGCAUGGUUUGUGCAGAGGCAGAAUUUCAGGCUUUUACCACUGAGCUCUGGACAUGAAGCAAAGCUAACACUAGAGGGUGCUAUAGAUUAGGAAAUCCAGGGACCAUGGGCGCCGGAGCGCGUUCAAGACGCUGCCCUCCCGAUUGUAACCUAACAAACUGAGCGUGUCACUUUGCCAGAAUUUACCCCUUCACCAUUUCUGCUAUGAUGAAAUUAUCCAGAUAUGUUUAAUUUGAAAUUUUAACUUAGUCUGUGAUUAUGUGGAAUUUCAACACUGGCUGUGGCCCAGUGCAGUGGCUCACUCACACCUGUAAUCCCAGUGCUUUGGGAGGCCAAGUCUGGUGGAUAAUUUGUGGUCAGGAGUUCGAAACCAGCCUGGCCAACAUGGUGAAACCCUGUCUCUCCUAAAAAUACAGAAAUUAGCCUGGUGCCUGUAAUCCCAGCUACUCGGGAGGCUGAGGCAGGAGAAUUGCUUGAACCCUCAGGAGGCAGAGGUUGCAGUGAGCCGAGAUCACGCCACUGCACUCCAGUCCUGUCUAAAAAAAAAAAAAAAAAAAAAAAGGACUGAGCCCAGGUCUGUAGGAUAGACACUUUGUGUUUGUAUCUUAAGUACUUUGCGAUCUCACCCUUACAAACCUGAUACUAAAUUCCACUUACCUACUUCAGUCCUUCUCUGAGGGAAGGUGGAGUUUGGAGGCAAUUUUAGGAAGCAGGAUGAGGAAACAGGGAAGGUGACACAGUGAAGGACAAGCCAACACAAGGGUGGAUUACCAAGGCUGGUCCCCUCUACAGGCACCCAGGGCUCGGUCCCACGCGGACUGCUGAGUAGACAGAAGACCUUUCAGAAUCUUCUGCCUCUCCCCCAUUUGCUGAGAGUUCCCUGGGAACGGUAACCCCCGUACCUUCGGGCUGAACAUAUGUUUGCAUGCUGAAUGGGCUCUUUCUGCCAUCCCAUGCCACAGCAUUCAGGAAGCCCUGGGGCCAAAGCAAACAGCAUGCUUGAGGCAAGGUGCUGUGAGGCCCAAAUGAGCUGAAGCUUGCACAAAACUGCUCACCACUGCCAUAGCUGAAUCAGCGGAGGCCAGGAGGAUGCGAGGCGGUGCCCGUGAUUGUCUGAUCAUCUCCCUCUUGGACCGCUGAGACUCAGGCAUGCCCUGCAUCAAAUCCAACCUGUCACCAGGUCUUCAAGGGGGAGGCCUGCGGAAAUCCUACUGUGAAUGAAACUACAGUUGCUAUUCAUCGUCUCCCUCCUGCACCUACCACUCCAGAUGUCCCUCACUCUUGGCCAGCACUUUGGCUUGUUUAAGUUGUGUGCCAGUUCCAGGAACAAAGUCACUCACUGUCCUGUGGGUAGUCUCCGAGUCUCUGCGAGGACCCACUGCACGGCAGGAGCUAGUCUCAGACUGAGGGGACCCAGACUUUAAAACGCAACCCAUGCAAAUGAAGC